UCAAACUUGGUCAUUUAGAGGAAGUAAAAGUCGUAACAAGGUCUCCGUAGGUGAACCUGCGGAGGGAUCAUUACCAGAGAUGGUGGGCUCGGGCCCCCGUUCUCAACCGUGCCGAUUUAAAUCUUUUUGCCUCGGGGGUGGGGUGGCUUUGGCCGCCGCCGCCCCCGGAGGACCACCGAACGCCGUCUCUGUGCGUCGGAGUCUAAUGAUAAAUGAAUGAAAACUUUCAACAACGGAUCUCUUGGUUCUGGCAUCGAUGAAGAACGCAGC
rnacentral:misc_RNA from 1 species